UACGAAGGGUGCAAACGUUGCUCGGAAUCAUUGGGCGUAAAGCGCACGUAGGCGGCUUCGCAAGUCGGAUGUGAAAUCCCUCGGCUCAACCGAGGACGUGCAUACGAAACUGCGAGGCUUGAGUACUGAAGAGGAUCGCGGAAUUCCCGGUGUAGAGGUGAAAUUCGUAGAUAUCGGGAGGAACACCAGUGGCGAAGGCGGCGAUCUGGGCAGAUACUGACGCUGAGGUGCGAAAGCGUGGGGAGCAAACAGG
rnacentral:rRNA from 1 species